AUGAAGGCGGGCUGGAAUCUCUCGGGGUUACAGCCUUGCUGAAUUAUUCACCCUUGUCUUUUGCGUACUUCUUGUUUCCUUGGUGGGUUCGCCCACCACUAGGACAAACAUAAACCUUUUGUAAUUGCAAUCAGCGUCAGUAACAAAUUAAUAAUUACAACUUUCAACAACGGAUCUCUUGGUUCUGGCAUCGAUGAAGAACGCAGCGAAAUGCGAUAAGUAGUGUGAAUUGCAGAAUUCAGUGAAUCAUCGAAUCUUUGAACGCACAUUGCGCCCUUUGGUAUUCCAAAGGGCAUGCCUGUUCGAGCGUCAUUUGUACCCUCAAGCUUUGCUUGGUGUUGGGCGUCUUGUCUCUAGCUUUGCUGGAGACUCGCCUUAAAGUAAUUGGCAGCCGGCCUACUGGUUUCGGAGCGCAUCAUAAGUCGCACUCUCUAUCAGCCAAGGUCUAGCAUCCAUUAAGCCUUUUUUCAACUUUUGACCUCGGAUCAGGUAGGGAUACCCGCUGAACUUAAGCAUAUCAAUAAGCGGAGGAA
rnacentral:rRNA from 1 species